rnacentral:rRNA from 1 species
GGCGGAGUUGUAGCACACUCUAAGCGUAGUAAUUUACGCCUCGCUUCAAGAGUCGCUGCGGCUGCCUGCCGUAAAACCCCCUAUAUUUCUAAUGGUUGACCUCGGAUUAGGUAGGAAUA